rnacentral:rRNA from 1 species
UCGAACGGAAAGGCCACAGCUUGCUGUGGUACUCGAGUGGCGAACGGGUGAGUAACACGUGGGUGAUCUGCCCUGUACUUCGGGAUAAGCUUGGGAAACUGGGUCUAAUACCGGAUAGGAAUCACAUGUGGGUGUGUGGUUGGAAAGCUUUUGCGGUAUGGGAUGAGCUCGCGGCCUAUCAGCUUGUUGGUGGGGUAAUGGCCUACCAAGGCGUCGACGGGUAGCCGGCCUGAGAGGGUGUACGGCCACAUUGGGACUGAGAUACGGCCCAGACUCCUACGGGAGGCAGCAGUGGGGAAUAUUGCACAAUGGGCGCAAGCCUGAUGCAGCGACGCCGCGUGGGGGAUGACGGCCUUCGGGUUGUAAACUCCUUUCGUCAGGGACGAAGCGAAAGUGACGGUACCUGGAUAAGAAGCACCGGCUAACUACGUGCCAGCAGCCGCGGUAAUACGUAGGGUGCGAGCGUUGUCCGGAAUUACUGGGCGUAAAGAGCUCGUAGGUGGUUUGUCGCGUCGUUUGUGUAAGUCCACGGCUUAACUGUGGGAUGGCAGGCGAUACGGGCAUAACUUGAGUGCUGUAGGGGAGACUGGAAUUCCUGGUGUAGCGGUGAAAUGCGCAGAUAUCAGGAGGAACACCGAUGGCGAAGGCAGGUCUCUGGGCAGUAACUGACGCUGAGGAGCGAAAGCAUGGGUAGCGAACAGGAUUAGAUACCCUGGUAGUCCAUGCCGUAAACGGUGGGCGCUAGGUGUGAGUCCCUUCCACGGGGUUCGUGCCGUAGCUAACGCAUUAAGCGCCCCGCCUGGGGAGUACGGCCGCAAGGCUA